AUUGAACGCUGGCGGAAUGCUUUACACAUGCAAGUCGAACGGCAGCACGGACUUCGGUCUGGUGGCGAGUGGCGAACGGGUGAGUAAUGUAUCGGAACGUGCCCAGUCGUGGGGGAUAACGUAGUGAAAAUUACGCUAAUACCGCAUACGAUCUAUGGAGGAAAGCGGGGGAUCGCAAGACCUCGCGCGAUUGGAGCGGCCGAUAUCAGAUUAGGUAGUUGGUGGGGUAAAGGCCCACCAAGCCAACGAUCUGUAGCUGGUCUGAGAGGACGACCAGCCACACUGGAACUGAGACACGGUCCAGACUCCUACGGGAGGCAGCAGUGGGGAAUUUUGGACAAUGGGCGAAAGCCUGAUCCAGCCAUUCCGCGUGCAGGAUGAAGGCCCUCGGGUUGUAAACUGCUUUUGUACAGAACGAUAAGGUUUCUACUAAUACUAGGAGCUCAUGACGGUACUGUAAGAAUAAGCACCGGCUAACUACGUGCCAGCCGCCGCUGUAA
rnacentral:rRNA from 1 species